rnacentral:rRNA from 1 species
GUGGGGGAUAUUGCACAAUGGAGGAAACUCUGAUGCAGCGACGCCGCGUGAGUGAAGAAGUAUUUCGGUAUGUAAAGCUCUAUCAGCAGGGAAGAAAGACUCGCAAGAGAGAUGACGGUACCUGACUAAGAAGCCCCGGCUAACUACGUGCCAGCAGCCGCGGUAAUACGUAGGGGGCAAGCGUUAUCCGGAUUUACUGGGUGUAAAGGGAGCGCAGACGGUUAUGUAAGUCUGAAGUGAAACCCCACGGCUCAACCGUGGGCUUGCUUUGGAAACUAUAUAACUAGAGUACUGGAGAGGUAAGCGGAAUUCCUAGUGUAGCGGUGAAAUGCGUAGAUAUUAGGAGGAACAUCGGUGGCGAAGGCGGCUUACUGGACAGCAACUGACGUUGAGGCUCGAAGGCGUGGGGAGCAAACAGG